UUUCAUACAGAAAACAACAUUUAUUCAGACAUGCUUUAUAAAGCUACAUGUUAAACCGUGUCAAAAAUGUCUACGGGCGUAUAAACCUUAUCAGUACAAUUAUUAGUAAGAGCAUUUGUAUAAUGAAAUAUAUUACAUAACAAUAUUACAAACCUCAACAUACAUUUGCAACUCAGCUACAGCUAUAAGCCAGUUUGAGGGGAUAAAUCUAUUGUUUUUCUACAACGACGGACCAACCAACCACAAGGAGUGUGUGACAAGAUCAAUAACUUAAAUAUUAAGUAGUUCGUAAGAAAAUGUGUUAUGUGCAAUUUGAUAUUCAAAAUAACAAUAGAUGAAUUGACAGAGUAUCUACUGUUAGACCUAAUAGUACAACUUUAAACUUUAAAAAUAUAAAACAAAUCAUGUUUACAUAUUUGACUUCCUAAAGUCUUGGACAAGGCAUUAUCAUCCUUGCUGUGCAUUUGUAAAGGACAAAUGUUAGGUAGGAACCACAUUUGAGUUCACAUCAAAAUGGAUCAGAUCCUUCUGUUUCAAUUGGUCAAUACCCAAUACCCUCAAACCUAUGAAGCAGACAAAGGUUAAACCUAAUGCUAAGAUAAAAUAAGAAAAUACUUGACAAAGCAUUAAGAUUUCAUAGCCUUAAAAGCCCCUUUAAAACAAAAUGGAUGCCACUAACUGUCUAAUACCACGGUUCUUCAAUACCACCAAGCUUCUAAGUCUUAGUCUGUUUUAGCACAUAGCAACACCUAGGAGUGCAUUUCAGUGUGAUACAAAUGAUCUGGUCUCUGACUAAAGAGAUAUCUAAAGAAGAGAGGAGAUCAGUCAGGAAGUGGCUAGUUCCUGUGUGCCCUAUUUAUAAGCCAAGUGAACGGGGCUGCUUUCAAGAGCACAGGGUAGAUACAACACAACAUUACUGGGGCUAGGUGAGAGUAGAUACAACACAACAUUACUGGGGCAAGGUGAGAGUAGAUACAACACAACAUUACUGGGGCUAGGUGAGAGUAGAUACAACACAACAUUACUGGGGCUAGGUGAGAGUAGAUACAACACAACAUUACUGGGGCUAAGUGAGAGUAGGCAUCAUAGGUUCUGUACUCACUUUUACAGUAGCUCAGUAAUCAUACCGCCUACACUCUUAGAAAAAAGGGUUCCAAAAGGGUUCUUCGGCUGUCCCAUAGGAUAACUCUUUUUUAUUCCAGGUAGAACUCUUUGGGUUCUUCUGGGGAAGGGUUCUACAUGGAACCCAAUAGGGUUCUACCUGGAAUCAAAAGGGUUCUUUCUGGAACCAAAAAGGGUUAUUCAAAGUGUUCUAUUGGGACAGCCGAAGAACCCUUUUACGUUCUAGAUUUUUUUCUAAGAGUGUAGUUCCUGUGUUGCAAUGUGCAGUCUGAAACCUUUUGUGAAAUGUUGUAUAAACCUAGCCUGCAUAGGUAUUUGCCAAAACAGAGUUAAGGUCACAUUUGCUAUGCAUUUGGACCUGGUGAAAAGUUUGCACCUGUUUUUAUUGGAUGAAACACCAAAGCUAAAACAGCAAACUGUCUUCAUUUAUACUUGAUAAAUGAUUCACUUUCAGAACCUUUAUUCUUACCUUUUCAUUUAACCUUUUAUGUCCAAUUCCCUAUGGUAAACUUACUGUGCAAUCUUGAUACCUGAUGCAAAGUGCAAAUGUUGAAUAAAUGGGGUCCUUAGCUGUCAGAAGAAGGGAGGCUUGUAAAAUAGGUCUGGUGUCAAAUUUGAUGUACAUCCUGCCAUUGAGAUUUGGACUGGCAGAGUUUGUCUCAGACAUUUUAUAAAAGCCCUGAAUAUUCUUUUAACACUUGGAAAGUAGUUUUUCAAGACAAAUAACUUCUCGAGAAAAUUAUAUUUUCAUGAACUACAUAAACACAACCCACCUCAUACACGAUUACUUCAACUACAUAAACACAACCCACCUCAUACACGAUUACUUCAACUACAUAAACACAACCCACCUCAUACACGAUUACUUCAACUACAUAAACACAACCCACCUCAUACACGAUUACUUCAACUACAUAAACACAA
rnacentral:lncRNA from 1 species